rnacentral:rRNA from 1 species
AGUGAACGCUGGCGGUAGGCCUAACACAUGCCAGUCGAACGGCAGCACAGUAAGAGCUUGCUCUUACGGGUGGCGAGUGGCGGACGGGUGAGGAAUACAUCGGAAUCUACUUUUUCGUGGGGGAUAACGUAGGGAAACUUACGCUAAUACCGCAUACGACCUACGGGUGAAAGCAGGGGAUCUUCGGACCUUGCGCGAUUGAAUGAGCCGAUGUCGGAUUAGCUAGUUGGCGGGGUAAAGGCCCACCAAGGCGACGAUCCGUAGCUGGUCUGAGAGGAUGAUCAGCCACACUGGAACUGAGACACGGUCCAGACUCCUACGGGAGGCAGCAGUGGGGAAUAUUGGACAAUGGGCGCAAGCCUGAUCCAGCCAUACCGCGUGGGUGAAGAAGGCCUUCGGGUUGUAAAGCCCUUUUGUUGGGAAAGAAAAGCAGCAGGUUAAUACCCCGCUGUUCUGACGGUACCCAAAGAAUAAGCACCUGCUAACUUCGUG